rnacentral:lncRNA from 1 species
UUCCCUCCCCCUGCCUCAUCCUCCUCUUGCUGAAAUGGACUCUGGGAGGGCUACUCUGCCUUUCUCUGAGCUCUCAGGUGCAGCUCACAGCCUUCUUUGUCUCCAGAUAACAGGUUGGUGGUAUAGCGUACGUACCUCAGCCUCACACAGCAGUGCCAGUGGGCACACGGGCCGUAGCAACGGGCAGUCAGAGGUGGCAGCCCAUGCCUGUGCCAGCAUGUGUGACGAGAUGGUCACACUGUGGAGGCUGGCCGUGCUGGACCCUGCACUCAG